UAGAUUCCCUGUUGCUGGAGUCAGACUCCAUGAGGGUGAGCAGUCAGGGCAGCUGCUUUGCAGAAGGCCACCUGCCCUGUGUGAGUCUGAAAAACAGCCCAGGAGCAAGAAGCAGGCUGGUGUCCCUAACUCUGAAGCAUUUUGCAACAGGCCCAGGUCGCGGCAGGUGGAACUCACCAGACUGAGGCUACUUUGCACCUGCUCCAGAGAGCUGCCCUUGAUGAGCCAGUCAUCAAGAUACGGAAAGAUUUGGACCCCUUGACACCUCAGGCCCUUGUCGAGGCUGCCACUGUCGAGGUGGCAGAGGAGACCGGAAUGGCUGUCUCGACACCUGAGGAGUGUGCAUCCCCAGCGAGAGGAGGAUCGCCUGCGUGUCUUUUAGGCCAUGCAGUUGAGCAUCUGUUUGGUCGGAAAAAAGGCCAACACCAUGAAACGGGCAGUCCUGAAUAGAGGCCUGCAUCUCCUGGGACAGUCCGGCAGUCUGAAGCCAGGAACUGUGCCGCACGACCACUGCUAAGGGUACCACCCAGGCAGCUGAAUCGGCUGUGUCCCAGACCAUUUGGAGGGAGCACAGAGUCGCUGCAGUACCCUCCUUCACCAGAGUUGCAAACUCUGGGCUGUCUUCUGAGACAUGGAGUCCUUGAACUUGAGGAUAGAGUCCCACAAGUUAAAGCUAUAGUGACACAAGAGAGCCUGGUGUUCCCCACCUGAAACUAGAGGCUGGCCAUAGAAUGAAAUCUUGCAAUCAAACAAAUCCAGCCUCUUGGCCUCCUUAUUCUUAGGGGUGGAACUGGUGGGCCCCUGUUUAUUCAUGUGGUGGGGGUGAGGCCGAGGAGUUCAG